GACGAACGCUGGCGGCGUGCUUAACACAUGCAAGUCGAACGGAAAGGCCCUGCUUGCAGGGUACUCGAGUGGCGAACGGGUGAGUAACACGUGGGUGAUCUGCCCUGCACUUCGGGAUAAGCUUGGGAAACUGGGUCUAAUACCGGAUAGGAGCCAUCUUUAGUGUGGUGGUUGGAAAGUUUUUUCGGUGUAGGAUGAGCUCGCGGCCUAUCAGCUUGUUGGUGGGGUAAUGGCCUACCAAGGCGGCGACGGGUAGUCGGCCUGAGAGGGUGUACGGCCACAUUGGGACUGAGAUACGGCCCAGACUCCUACGGGAGGCAGCAGUGGGGAAUAUUGCACAAUGGGCGCAAGCCUGAUGCAGCGACGCCGCGUGGGGGAUGAAGGCCUUCGGGUUGUAAACUCCUUUCGCUAGGGACGAAGCUUUUUUGUGACGGUACCUAGAGAAGAAGCACCGGCUAACUACGUG
rnacentral:rRNA from 1 species